rnacentral:rRNA from 1 species
CGUGUAGGCGGUUGGUCAAGUCUGGUGUGAAAGCCCGGGGCUCAGCUCCGGAAGGGCAUCGGAAACUAGCCAGCUGGAGCGCGAUAGAGGAGGGCGGAAUUCCUGGUGUAGCGGUGAAAUGCGUAGAUAUCAGGAGGAACACCGGCGGCGAAGGCGGCCCUCUGGAUCGUUGCUGACGCUGAGACGCGAAAGCGUGGGGAGCAAACAGGAUUAGAUACCCUGGUAGUCCACGCUGUAAACUAUGGGUACUAGGUGUUCGGGGUAUUGACCCCCUGAGUGCCGCAGCUAACGCAUUAAGUACCCCGCCUGGGGACUACGGCCGCAAGGUUAAA